ACCCAGACUCCUACGGGAGGCAGCAGUGGGGAAUAUUGCACAAUGGGGGAAACCCUGAUGCAGCGACGCCGCGUGAGUGAAGAAGUAUUUCGGUAUGUAAAGCUCUAUCAGCAGGGAAGAAAAUGACGGUACCUGACUAAGAAGCCCCGGCUAACUACGUGCCAGCAGCCGCGGUAAUACGUAGGGGGCAAGCGUUAUCCGGAUUUACUGGGCGUAAAGGGAGCGUAGACGGCAUGGCAAGUCAGAUGUGAAAGCCCGGGGCUCAACCCCGGGACUGCAUUUGAAACUGUCAGGCUGGAGUGCAGGAGAGGUAAGUGGAAUUCCUAGUGUAGCGGUGAAAUGCGUAGAUAUUAGGAGGAACACCAGUGGCGAAGGCGGCUUACUGGACAGUAACUGACGUUGAGGCUCGAAAGCGUGGGGAGCAAACAGGAUUAGAUACCCCCGUAGC
rnacentral:rRNA from 1 species